UACAGAGGGGGCAAGCGUUGUUCGGAAUUACUGGGCGUAAAGGGCGCGUAGGCGGCCCGCUAAGUCGAACGUGAAAUCCCCAGGCUCAACCUGGGAACUGCGUCCGAUACUGGCAGGCUUGAAUCCGGGAGAGGGAUGUGGGAUUCCAGGUGUAGCGGUGAAAUGCGUAGAUAUCUGGAGGAACACCGGUGGCGAAGGCGGCAUCCUGGACCGGUAUUGACGCUGAGGCGCGAAAGCUAGGGGAGCAAACGGG
rnacentral:rRNA from 1 species